CAAAAGUGUAUAUUAAAGCUGUUGCAGUUAAAAAGCUCGUAGUUGGAUCCUGGACGUUCUGGGCGGGCGGUCGGCCUCACCGGCUGACGUCGGCUACGCUCAGGUCUAUUUUGAGGGGAGGAUCCUGGUGCCCUUCGCCGGGUGCCGGGGUCUGCCCGCAAGUCUUACUUUGAAAAAAUCAGAGUGCUCAAAGCAGGCCGGUAGAGCCUGAAUGCAAUUUCAUGGAAUAAACGAACAAGACCUCAGGAUUGCUUGGUUUCCAGUUCUAGAGGUAAUGAUUAAGAGGGCCUGCCGGGGGCAUACGUAUUGCAGGGCGAGAGGUGAAAUUCAGUGACCCUUGCAAGACGACCUAAAGCGAAAGCAUUUGCCAAGAAUGGUUUCCUUGA
rnacentral:rRNA from 1 species